UGAGAUUUUACCGUUUAGAGACCGUUAGUGACAUUUUACCGUUAUUAGUUAAAUAUCGUUUGGAGUGUAGAAAUAUUUUUGGUUUGAAUAGAAAUGGGUUAAGCCCACUAGAAACUAGGUUAAGCCCAUUAAGGGUCAUACCUAAGGAGUUGUCUUAGAAAAUAUCAUUCAUUUCAUUUCAUAAGAUAUUUUCCUAGAGAGAGGUGGAGAGAGAAAGUGGAGAAGAGAGGAACAAGGGUUAGAGAAGGAGAAACUUGAAGAAUCAAGAAUUGGGGUGAAUCUAAGAGCUAAAGUGAAGCCAAAGUUUGGAUUAAUCAUUAUCUAAAGUAAGGGGGUUAGUCUUCAUCAUAAUCAUGUUCAUUUAUUGCAAUUUCUCAUUUGUUGUAUGAAUAUGGGUUGAAUUGAAGAAAUGGAUAAUUGUUGCUAAAUUCGUGCUCUAACUGUGAUGUUAAGUUUGUAUGCAUGAAUUGAUGAUAAUUGUAUGAUUGUUGGUGAAAUUACAUGUUCAAUUAUGUAAAAAUGUGAAGUUUUGAAAAUUGUGCUCAAUUGGUGAAUUUUGCUAUGUUGUUGUUGAAUUAUGAUGAGAACCAUGUUCAAUUGAUGUUGUUGUUGUUAAUUGAUGUUGUUGUUGAUGAAUCAUUGCUUGGGUAUGCAUAUUCAUGAAUUGAUGAUGAGAAUUUGAAUUAUUGUUGGUGUUUUGGUGAAAAUGGAUGAAUUUGGUGAAUUGGCCAAAAGUGAGAUUGAUUUUCAUGUUCAAUGUGUUUUCGAGUGUCCUUGUGAGUUAUUUGACCUAUAAACAAUCUUUGGAAACAUGUUUGGGCAUUGGGAGAUCAAAAUUGGGAGUUUUGGGUGAAAAAUGGGUGAAAGUUGCUGUCUGAUGACUGCACGCUUAAGCGUGCUGUAAGCGAGCUGGUAAGCGUGCAGUUACAGUAGCUACUGGAUUUUGGACGCUUAAGCGUGAAGGUGGACGCUUAAGCGAGCAGUUCUUUUUCCAGCACUUUUGAAAUUUUGUUCUGAGCUUCCUAGGGCCAAUCCGAACUUCUUAAAACACUUCUUUUAACUUGUAUAAUCAUUAGUCUCAUACUUAAUCCUACUGGAACAUCUCCUUGAAUGAAAUUUGGACUUGGUUUGUGAAAUCAAAACUUAACUUUGAAAAUUGCUCAAGAACGUUGAUUUUUCUGGAAAAUGGGAUCUUCAAGAAAAUGGAAUGGGAUUAAGAUAGAAUAGAGAUUAUAUGAUUACUGAAAAUGGUAGCGAUUGGUUUCCUUGAGUUUUAUUUGGUUUUGGUUUUGAAAAUGGAAGAUUCUUGUAAAAUGUUAAAGAGAGACGAACAUUGAUGAAAAUAUUCUUUUAAGCCAAUCACCUUAUAAAUCUUUCAUAUUUAGUUUUGUAUGACUAUAUGGAAGUAUUUGAUUGUUAGUUGAGUUUUGAAUGUGAUGUUUAUCUUAAGGUGAUGUAUUUUCCUCUUGACUUGGAAAGUGAGCAAAUCAUGUAUUUGAUGUGAAAUUAUGUGAAGGUAAUGAUAUUGGUGAAUCCAUAUACAUUGUUUAUUAUGAUAUGGUGAGUGAAUAUAUAUCUUGUUGUGAAUUGUUGGUGAGUACAUAUAUGUCGAGAAAUGAUGAAUUGGUGUGAAUGCAUUUAUGCAAGUAAUAUUGGUGAGAAUAUGGUGAAUUGUUUGUAUGAACAUAUGUAUUGUUGUUGAGAUAUAUGUUUAUGCAUACAUGACUGAUGGUGACGGAUUUUAUAUCAAAUAUGGUGAGUUGUUUGUGUGAACAUAUGCAUUGUUGUUGAGUCAUAUGUUCAUGCAUACAUGACUGAUGGAGACAGAUAUUUUUAUAUAUCCAAAUGGUGAGAUUAUGAUGUUCUGUCGACAUCAUGGGCGACGGCCUAAAUAUUGGUGAUGGUGAGACUGGUACCGCAUGCAUCUAGAAGAGUCUAGAACAUUGCAUGCAUUUGAUUGGUUGAUGAAGUAUGUCAUAAUUGAAUAUGUGACUUGAUGAAAUGUGAUUGGUGAUUGUUCAUGACUUAUGAUUGGUGAUUGUUCAUGAAAUGUGAUUAAUGAAUGUUCAUGGAAUAUGAUUGAUAUUUGUUCACGAUAUAUGUGAUUGGUGAUUGUGUAUGAAUAACUGUGAAUUGAUAUUUGUUCAUGACACAUGUGAUUGAUGAUUAUUAAUGUGAGAUAUUGGGGUUUGAUGUAAGUAUUGAUAUGAGAAUAUUAUUAUUGAUCAAGUGCAUGAUGUUUAUAUUGAAAUAUUCAUGUUAACUGUUAUUUGGAUUAUGAUGAUGUAAUACUUACCCCCAGUGGAUCUGUGAUGGACCGCCUGCCUAUCUUUAUAGAUGGGUCGACGUUGUGCAGGUUUAGAUGCUUGGUGAGUACUUGGUGUUGCUGGAUAGUGGGAGCUUUCUCCGCUAUCGGGUCUUAGAGUAGUAUAGGUUCUGAUCUAGGGGUCUUUGUAUGAUUACUCUAGAUCUUUUGUUGGAUUUAUUCAUGUUUCGAGAUUUUGUCCACUUGUCGGACUUGGAGAAUUGUUGUGCUUGUGCAUUUUGAGAUCAUGUGACAUGUAUGCUUUGAUGUAUAAGAAUUUUGUAUCCGCUGCGACUGAUGAGGUUUUAUAUACAUGCAUGUUGACCGUUGAUUCGAUUUUGAUUUCCUUUGUUUUGGUGAAAGUAGCGACUAUUUCUUGAAUAUUAUUAUUAUUCGCAUGUUUUAUUGCUUUAAUAGAAAUAGGCUGUUACAAGGCGAGGCAUGAAUACUCGCGUGGCGAGCGACGAACUUCAUCACUCGCGAGGCGAGACAUGCUGCUCGCGAGGGCGAGCGAUGAAUGUUGGCUCGGGCAGAAUUGCAGUUUUCAUGAAAAUCCACCUAAAGGCAUGGUUUUAAGCUUAACAUUGAUUCAAGAUAUCAACCUAUGGAUUGUCUAAGGUCUGUACACAGUUUCUACAUCAAUCUAACAAUUUUUCAUCAAUUAAUCAUCAAUUUCUCACUUUAACCUAAUUCUCAAAAACUAAUCCUACAACCUGUUAAAUACAACCAUCAGAAUCGUAGACUUAAUAGAAUUGAAUUCUAGCCCCACCCUUACCUUAAGAAAUCGAUGGACAGCCUCUUCUUGGUUCUUCUCUCUUCUUGUUCUCCCUUUUCUCCCAAAAUUGAUUGUAUGUGAAAACUUUUCUAAACCUAGUUCUAACCUAUUUAUAUCUCCUCUAUCUAUUCUAUUAUAUUCCUCUUUUUCCCACAAAACUCUCUAAAUUCACAGAACAGCCCCUCAUCUCAAUAUUUAUUUUAUUUUCAAAUCUUAUUCUAUUAAACAAUAAAAUAAGUCACAACACAUCACAUAAACACUUAAAAUCACAUUAAUCGUAUAAAUCAUCUUAAUAGACUCUAAUUUCAACAAAAUAAUUAAAUAAAUCAAAAGAGGGCGUUACAGUUAGCAUAUGGUUUGUUAAUUUUGAUUAUAAUAUGUUUGAUUGCAAUGCGGUAGUUUACUGAUUGAAAUGACAUUGUUGGAAUUUUAGUGUGGUUGUUGAAUUGUUGGAAAUGACACAAUGUGCGUGUGAAAAUGUAUCAUUGAAUUUGUGUUUUGUUAAAUGUUUUGCAGAUAUGCCUCAGAGGAAUACGUCUCAGAGACUGCCUGAGCGGCCUCAUGAUAGGAAUGAGAGUGACAGACUUAGGGCAUGGAGGCCUGCCCUACUAGUAGUACAUGGAGGGAAAAACAAGCAUUGCACCCUCCUAUGGCUGGUCAAGGGAGAGGUGGGGGAACGAGACUUGCUAGAGUUGAUGCUGCAGGGGGGGUCAAGGUCGUAGACGGGUCCAUCCUAGACGGUGAACCCGACACAGUAUCAGCAUGAUUAUCAGGUGUAUGAGCAGGUGCAGGAUCAGGCGUAUCAUUUUCAGGAGCCUCAGCCUCACUAGUAUCAGUUUGAUGCGUAUCAGCAACAUCAUCAUGAGCAGCCUGGUAUUAAGCAGGAGCAUCCUGAUAUUGACCAGGAGUAGCCUGAUAUUGAGGAGCCACAGCAGCAGAAUAUUAAGCAGCCUCAACAGUAUGAUGGGGGGGUCGUUUUCAGGGGGUGCCGAGGGUGGUGUACGAGGCUGGACCGGAUGGAUAUGCAGGGGGCCUUCUGAGCUGACGCUUUUACCUCACUUUGGUGGACAUGUGGCAGCAGGGUUUGGGUCGAUGCCGAUUUAAGUAUAAUUUAAUUAUUAUUUUACUUAUUUAAUGUUAGAAUUAAAAUUUAUGUUAGCAUAUAUUUAAUGUUUGUUUUACUUUUAUUUAUUUAACGGUGUUGUUUGUUGUUUUUUGUUUUUGUAUUUCAGUUUCGAAGAAAACAUAGGGUGAAAGGUAUCUCGCACGGGAAGAAGCUGAGCCUUAAAAACUUGACAUUUCCUAUGAUGGGGGAACAAAACGAGUGGUUUUGGUCAGAAAUGAAUAUGUCCGGUCUUACUCCCCUUCUGACUAGUGGGUACGAGAACAUUUCUCACGGGUUUGUUUGUGCAAUGAGAGAGAGAUGGCAUGAGGAGACCAGCAACUUCCAUCUACCGGUUGGGGAGAUGACCAUCACACUAGAUGAUGUGGCGUGUCUCCUAGGCAUCCCCAUCAUUGGGAGACUCCUUUCGGAUAAAGAGUUAACCCGUGAGGAGGCGCUAGAGAUGAUGCAGACAAACCUACUUUUUACAGCGGAGGCUGCCGGUAAGGAGCUGACAAGACAGGGUGCUUCUCACAUCAGUUUUGGUGCAUUGAAGACGCGGUACGAGGAGAUCUUGAAUAGGUGUAACCAGCUGCUUGUGCCAGACACAGAGGAGGAGCAAGAGGAGCAAGCUCGAGUUAGGCUGGCCUGCAUUAAGGUGUUUAUGUUGCUCUUGAUUGGCUGGACCAUUUUUUCCGGCAAGAACAGCAAAAACAUUAAUCUUUUUUGGCUACUUGCGCUGCAAGAUAUGGACGAGUUGGACAGCUGGUCAUGGGGUGGGAUGAGACUUGCUUUCCUAUAUGAGCAGCUAUCUCUUACCUUCGACUCAUAUGUGGCCUCCUGUGGUGGUUACAUGACAUUGCUUGUGAUAAUAUUUGUUUUUCUUCUUUUUUACUUAUUGGAUCGUAAAUGUUUAGUUGUUUGUAUAAUUCUUGCGGUGAUAUAAAUAUUUGUUUUUUUGUGUUUGCAUGGAUGAACUUUGGCACACUUCUCGAACAUCAUUCCGAGGAUUGAUGAUGAUGCCUACGACCCUACUGUUUUCCCGCUUGUGAGUCAAUGGAAACCUCCAAGGGGCUUUACUAAUCCUGGACACUACAGAGCUGCCAUUGAUUCGUUGGUACUCCGGAUGGAUCAUGGUCGGCAACGACAGGAUGGUCCGUCACUUGCCAGAGCGGGUUCUUAGGCAGUACGGGUAUGUCCAGACUAUUCACAGGGCUCGUACAUACAUUGAGCUUAUUACGGCGGAUGACGUGGCCCAUGCCUUCACAUAGUUUGUGUAACAGUCCGAUUUUUAGCUAGAUUUAUUUUCAUUACUUUUAUUAUGUGUUUAUAUGUGUUUGUGUGAUUAAUCAUCAUUGGGUGCAUUUUCAUGGGUUUCUGUGUUAGAAGGGUAUUUUAGUCAUUUUAGACUUAUGGGUAUUUUGGUCAUUUUGCGAGAACAGGUAAAAUUAUAAUUUUAGUGGGAAUUACUUUUAGUGAUUAGUGAGAAUAGUUAUUUCAUUAAGUUACUAGAGUAAAUUGAGAUUUUACCGUUUAUUGACCGUUAGUGACAUUUUACCGUUAUUAGUUAAAUAUCGCUUGAAGUGUAGAAAUAUUUUUUGGUUUGAAUAGAAAUGGGUUAAGCCCACUAGAAACUAGGUUAAGCCCAUUAAGGGUCAUACCUAAGGAGUUGUCUUAGGAAAAUAUCACUUCAUUCAUUUCAUAAGAUAUUUUCUAGAGAGAGGUAGAGAGAGAAAGUGGGAGAAGAGAAGAACAAGGGUUGGAGAGAAGAGGAACUUGAAGAAUUCAAGGGUUUGAAGAAUCAUAGGAGCAAAAGUGAAGCUAGAGCUAAUAGUUGGAGAUAAUUAAGGUAAGGGGGUUAGUUUUUAUCAUAAUCAUUUAGUUAAUUCUUUUUCUCUUGUUCUAUGCAUAAUUGAUUAUGGGAAUAAGUGAUUAUCAUGAACCCAAUCUUUGAAAUUCGUGCUUAUGUUGUAGAGAUAUGUUUGAAUAUGUUAAUUUGAUGUUAAAUGAAUUGUUGAUGAUGAAAUUGCAAGUUCAUGAUGUAUGAAAAUGGGUAGUUUGUAAAUUAUGCUCAAUUGGUGAAUUAUGCAUGGUUGUUGAUGAAUUGUGAUAUGUUUCAUGAUCAAUGGUUGUUGUUGUUGUUUAGUCAUAUUGUUGAUGAUGAUACAUGGCUUGGGUUUGCAUGAUUCAUGAUUUGUUGUUGAGAAAUGGAUUGUUGUUGGUGGUUUUGUGAAAUUGGUGAAGUUGAGUUAAGUGUUCAUGUGAAGGACCAAAAUGAACUUUUGAUAUAUAUGGUUGUUGACUGAAAUUUUGUUAUUGUUGGAUGAAUUGAACCUAGGAGAAUUUCUGUUUUCAUGUUGUGGUUAUGUUAGUUGAGUCGUUUGGGAGAAAACAGGUUUUUCGUGUGAAAUGUCGAUGUUUAAGCGUUUUCGCCAAUAAGUGAUUAUGUGAGGUUUUGGAAUAUGACUUUUGGGAUGGUUGAAACAUGAAAUUUUUGUAGAUUAUGUUAGAGU
rnacentral:lncRNA from 1 species